CCUACGGGUGGCUGCAGUGAGGAAUAUUGGUCAAUGGACGAGAGUCUGAACCAGCCAAGUAGCGUGAAGGAUGACUGCCCUAUGGGUUGUAAACUUCUUUUAUAUGGGAAUAAAUUGUUCUACGUGUGGGAUUUUGUAUGUACCAUAUGAAUAAGGAUCGGCUAACUCCGUGCCAGCAGCCGCGGUAAUACGGAGGAUCCGAGCGUUAUCCGGAUUUAUUGGGUUUAAAGGGUGCGUAGGCGGUUUGUUAAGUUAGUUGUGAAAGUUCGGGGCUCAACCGCAAAACUGCAGUUGAAACUGGCAGUCUUGAGUACAGUAGAGGUAGGCGGAAUGCGUGGUGUAGCGGUGAAAUGCAUAGAUAUCACGAAGAACGCCGAUUGCGAAGGCAGCUCACCGGACUGCGACUGACGCUGAGGCACGAAAGUGUGGGGAGCAAACAGGAUUAGAUACCCUAGUAGUC
rnacentral:rRNA from 1 species